AGAAGCUCACCGUAAAGGAAACUAUGUUGCUGCCAUUUGACGUCAAAGCGCAUCGAUAACUGAUUCAGUAAUUGGCAACUACUCCUCUAUCAAUGUGUAUGCACAUGGAGACUUGGACUGUCAGAUAAGGAUCAUGCCCAAGAAGAAGAGGAUAUUAAGUCUCUCUCCCAGGAUUUGAAAUCUGUCCUGAAUCCGUGGCCCAAGCAGAUGCUG
rnacentral:lncRNA from 1 species